CUUCAUAGUCAUCGCCGUGAAAACCUCAAAUCUUACAUGGCUACAGUCCUCGGGAAGUCACUGCAUCGGGCCUGGACCGCCCUCGUUAGCGUUGCCACACACCACGUGUGCACUGGAGGUUCGUUGAUACACGUUAUAGUCACUGUCCACGUGAACUUAUUUUGAUAGCCUGUGACUGAUCUGUAUGUCCACAUCAUGAUAAUAUUUAUUUUUGUCUACGAAGUCUAAGGAAAUCAAAGGAAAUGUGAAAUAUUUCAGAAAGGCGUAAUUCGCCGAAUGUAUUUAAAGCAGUAUAUCAAGUGCUAGAAGAUAAUGAAAUUGUGAGUACCAAAGACGAGCUUUACUUCAGAAUGAACCAUUACUGAUUCCUGUCCUGUUGAUGCUCAGUCUCUUAUCCUUGCUCAGAGAUGGCCUAUUUUGAUAGAUUUUUCCGUGAUCUUCCUCAGUUUCUAUAGGGUAUUACUUUAAAUUCGGCAACAACUCCUUCAGCUUCAUUCACAGUUAUCCCCUCAGUCUGCCCCAUAUAUCAUUGUAGUUGAUA